rnacentral:lncRNA from 1 species
UGGAGGUCACUGGAAUAGACUCUUGGAUUCAUUACACCCAAGUGAAGGCCUGGAAAGCUGAUGGAGCCACCUCUGUCAACCCAGAAGAGCACCCAAAGUACCAAGGUAAAGAGAUCAGGGACUUCAAGCUAAAAAUUACAAAAGAUAUGUGUUAAUAAUUAACCUCCUAAGGAUAUUCUCUUUAUAUUCUUGCCUACGCUUGCUGUUCUUACCUUUGUUCUGUUCUAUACCAUGGAGUACAAUAUUGUUUUCAGAAUGAUUAUUUCUGUAAUCUUUGGCAUUAGGUUCUCUCCUUUUUAACUCCUUUUUUUAUAAUAUACAUAUUUGAUCCAUGCAUACUAAACCCUAUAAAACUUGUUUAUUCUCACCUAGAGACCAUGAAACUCCAAAUAGUCAGGCACCAGAGCCUCAGAUGAUGGCUCCCUUUUGCCAGGGAUGCUUAGGUAGACCUCUGGGAGGAAUCCAACCAUCAUUUUCCCAAAAACAAUGCCCCCUGUUAGCAGGAAGUAACUAAGAAUGGCCAUUGUCCAUAAUCUAAUAGUAGUUAGAUGUGCCUCUUCAGAGGGAGAAUAUGAUAGGGAUGGGAGGCAGAGAAAUUCUAGGCAGAAAAGGAAAGGGUACCUGGCAAGGACCCCACCCUCAAGCUUGGAACCAUGGACCAAAGUGUGAACUUUACACGGCCGUUUUCCUGCUCAAAUAUUGCCUUUUCCAAAACCACCCCUGGCACACCCUGUCCCCAAUCCUGUACCCACUAAAACCCCAGGCUCUUCUGGCAGAGGGCAGAGAAGGGGAGAAGAGAAGCAGCAGCUGAACAUUGGAGAGAAACAGUUUGACUUCAGAGGGAUAGCUUAAUGGUGAGACUUCAGGGGAAUAAUACCUUCCUGCUCCAUCCCCUUUCCAGCUUCCCUUCCCACCGAGAGCCACUUCCAUCGGCAAUAAAAUCUUCUGCAUUCACCACCCUUCAAUUUGUUUGUGUGACCUGCUUUUUCCUGGAUGCCAAACAAGAGCUCGAGUGUCAUGGGGAUGGACACUAAAGGCAGUGAGACUGACCUUCUAUCCUUGCUGGUGGAGAGCAACCACCUCAUGUGAAAAGGCAGAGUGCUCACUGAGCUGCUUAACACUUAAGCCGUCCAUGAGUGACAAAGCUAAAGAGUACACUGUAACACAUGCCCUCUGGGGCUUUGUGGGGGGUCAUGGGUACUCUCCCCUAGAUUCUGCCAUAGGGCCCACAGAGUUUUGCUCCUGCCAGUGCCCAGAAACACUCGCCCUGGCUCAUGCACCCACUCACUGUCAGGCUUCUGAGCUCAAGCUAAGCCAUCAUAUCCCCUGUGACCUGCACGUACACAUCCAGAUGGUCGGUUCCUGCCUUAACUGAGGACAUUCCACCACAAAAUAAGUGAAAAUGGCCUGUUCCUGCCUUAACUGAUGACUGUCUUGUGAAAUUCCUUCUCCUGGCUCAUCCUGGCUCAAAAGCUCCCCUACUGAGCACCUGGUGACAUCCACUCUGCCCACCAGAGAACAACCCCCCUUUGACUGUAAUUUUCCUUUACCUACCCAAAUGGUAUAAAACGGCCCCACCCCUAUCUCCCUUUGCUGACUGUCUUUUCUGACUCAGCCCGCCUGCACCCAGGUGAAAUAAACAGCCAUGUUGCUCACAGAAAGCCUGUUUGGUGGUCUCUUCACACGGACGUGAAUGAAAUUUGGUGCCGUGACUCGGAUCGGGGGACCUCCCUUGGGAAAUCAAUCCCCGGUCCUCCUGCUCUUUGCUCCAUGAGAAAGAUCCACCUAUGACCUCAUGUCCUCAGAGCAACCAGCCCAAGAAGCAUUUCACCAAUUUCAAAUCCGGUAAGCGGCCUCUUCUUACUCUCUUCUCCAACCUGUCUCACUGUCCCUCAACCACUUUCUCCUUUCCACUCUUCAAUCUCUCCCUUCUCUUAAUUUCAAUUCCUUUCAUUUUCUGGGAGAGACAAAGGAGACAUGUUUUAUCUGUGGACCCAAAACUCCGGCGCAGGUCACGGACUGGGAAGGCAGCCUUCCCUUGGUGUUUAAUCAUUUCAGGGAUGCCUCUCUGAUUAUACACCCACGUUUCAAGGGUGUCAGACUACGCAGGGAUGCCUGCCUUGGUCCUUCACCCUUAGCGGCAAGUCCUGCUUUUCUGGGGAAGGGGCAAGUACCCCAACCCCUUCUCUCCAUGUCUCUACCCCCUCUCUGCCUUUCUUGGGGGCAAGAAACCCCCAACCCCUUCUCCUUCACCUUUAGCGGCAAGUCCUACUUUUCUGGGGGAGGGGCAAGUACCCUAACCUCAUAUCUCUGAGCCCCAAUCCCUUAUUUCCACACCCCGACCUCGUAUCUCUGUGCCCUGAGCCCUUUCCUGCUUUUCUGGAGGGUAAGAACCCCCAAAGCCCUUCCCUCCAUGUCUCUACUCUCUCUUUUCUCUGGGCUUGCUUCCUUCACUAUGGGCAACCUUCCACCCUCCAUUCCUCCUCCUCCUCCCUUAGCCUGUAUUAAGAACUUAAAACCUCUUCAACUCUCACCUGACCUAAAAUCUAAGCAUCUUAUUUUCUUCUGCAAUGCCGCUUGACCCCAAUACAAACUCAACAGUAGUUCCAAAUAGCCAGAAAAAGGCACUUUCAAUUUUUCCAUCCUGCAAAAUCUAAAUAAUUCUUGCUGUAAAAUAGGCAAACGGUCUGAGGUGCCUGACGUCCAGGCAUUCUUUUACACAUCGGUGCCUUCCUAGUCUCUGUGCCCAAUGCAACUCGUCCCAAAUCUUCCUCCUUUCCCUCCCACCUGUCCCCUCAGUCCCAACCCCAAGCAUCACUGAGUCUUUCUAAUCUUCCUUUUCUACAGACCCAUCUGAUCUCUCCCCUCCUCGCCAGGCUGAGCUAGAUCCCAAUUCUUCCUCAGCCUCCGCUCCUCCACCCUAUAAUCCUUUUAUCACCCUCCUCCUCACACCGGUUCCAGCUUACAGUUUCCUUCCACUGCUAGCCCUCCCCCACCUGCCCAGCAAUUUCCUCUUAAAAAGGUGGCUGAAGCUAAAGGCAUAGUCAAGGUUAAUUCUCCUUUUUCUUUAUCCAUCCUCUCCCAAAUCAGUUAGCAUUUAGAUUCUUUUUCAUCAAAUUUUAAAAACCCAGCCCAGUUCAUGGCUCGUUCAGCAGCAACCCUGAGAUGCUUUACAGCCCUAGACCCUAAAAAGUCAAAAGGCCGUCUUAUUCUCAAUAUACAUUUUAUUACCCAAUCUGCUCCCGACAUUAAAUAAAACUCCAAAAAUUAAAUUCUGGCCCUCAAACUCCACAACAGGACUUAAUUAACCUCGCCUUCAAGGUGUACAAUAAUAGAAAAAAGUUGCAAUUCCUUGCCUCCACUGUGAGACAAACCCCAGCCACAUCUCCAGCACACAAGAACUUCCAAACGCCUGAACCGCAGUGGCCAGGCGUUCCUCCAGAAUCUCCUCCCCCAGGAGCUUGCUACAAGUGCCAGAAAUCUGACCACCAGGCCAAGGAAUGCCUGCAGCCCAGGAUUCCUCCUAAGCCAUGUCCCAUCUGUGUGGGACCCCACUGGAAAUCAGACUGUUCAACUCACCUGGCAGCUACUCCCAGAGCCCCUGGAACUCCGACCCAAGGCUCUCUGACUGACUCCUUCUCGGCUUAGCAGCUGAAGACCGACGCUGCCCGAUCACCUCGGAAGCCCCGUAGACCAUUAUGGAUGCCGAGCUUUAGCUCUGAAAGUUCCCAAAUUUCAGGACUCUCCUGAUUUCUUGUUCCUGUUCUAAAAGCAGCAAAUUAUUUCCUGACAGACCCUCCUCCUUGCAGUAAGUUGCCAAACUCAGCCAACAACUCAGCCAACAACAACAAAAACACACUGGUCAUUGGCUACAAUUAUUGACACAGUUGCACCCAGUGACAAAGGGGCCAAGAAAUGCAGUUCUCCCAUGUGCACUCAGGUGGAAAACAUCAUGAAUGGCUGAGGCAACAUGGUUGCUACCAGAGUUAGGAAAGGAAAAGAUCAUGAAACUAACCUCCCAAGCAAUGGGUAGCCUGCUCGAUGUUGACCCCUGCCAGGGGAGGAAAUAAUAUUUAAUUGUAAAUAAUGUUCAGAGUUUUGAUUAUUGCAUUAUAUUGAUCACCCUAAGUUGAUUAUGUUUUAUGACUCUAGGUGUCAUUGGACUGUUUAUUAUCAAAUAGCAAGAAAAAAAUUAUGGAUCUAUCUACAGUUUUCAUUCUAUGGCCCUACUGGAUAAAUUUCAAGGUGACAGAUGUGAGACACAAACAAAUUUUCCUUUUGAUGACAAGAGUUGUACCUGUUUGGCCAUUAAAUGACCAUUUAAAUCACCAUUAAACGCCCACCUCCAUCAUCAUCAUCAGUUGCACUUAUGUUUAUGAAAGCCAUGGAUUGGUGAGCACAUCAGCUCAAGCUCGCCUAGCUGUCAUCGGUCAAUAAUCCAUAAAGGAGAAGGAAAAAUUUCCUCCAGAAUCAAAACCCAUGCCUGGCUCUUUGAUUGAAAGUACCAUACAACAAUUCAUUUUUAAGUUUUUUUUUUUAAUUCUCCGAAGCACUCUGUCUCAGAUUGCAAGUACUUUGGUUGCAAGCACUACCAGGUGACUUUGGCAAAAUUAAGCUAAAAUAUAUUUAAUGGGUGCACAUGAGGUAGCUCAGAGGGUUUAAAUGAGGGCUAAAGAACUAAACUUGAAACAGAUAUGAAAAGGAAGCUGUAGAGACUCAGUGGCACUGAUUGUUAGGUUGUUUCUACAUUGCUAAGAUGAAUAAACAAAUUCCAAAUUUUCUCUUGUCUUAGUCACUCCUCUAAUGAUUCAAUUUCUGAAGAGAGAGGGUUGAUUGGUUAAACUUAGUUUGAUUACUUGCCCACUCAUUCUUUACUGUAUCUUUGCAGUGAGAAGAAUUAUGUAGUUUUGAUGGAAGAAGUCUCCAGGGUUACAAAUUUUCUCUUCUUCUGUUGGUGGCAGAGCACAGUACCUUAUGUUACCAUUCUUAGGAACAGUGAUAGUGGUUGUGUGGUAGCCAUAAAACAAAACAAAAAUGCCUGUAAUCAGUUCACCUUGUUGUAUGAAUGUAAAAUGUUUGAAGAAUAUAACUUUAAUAUUUUUCUCCUUAAUGUAAAGAGCAACAUUUUCAGAAAAAUAUUCUGGGAAGAAGUUUUGGGUCAAUAACAUGCUUCCUAGGUAAAUUAUCAACAACAAGGUACAAAAAGACAUGCUUGAAAAAAAUGAUAAAAUCAUCUUAUCUAAGCCACUUGAUUCUUGAUCCCCUCUUUCCUGGUAUUGCAUUCUGCUUUGAAAACCAAGCAGAGUAGCAACUAAAAGUUUCAGGCUUUAUAAAGACAUGUCUUUGGGAAAAUUUCCUGCUCUGUCCCCAGAUUUAGCCAUUCCCUAGAUGCUGGUAACCUAAUGUAAUUUCCUCAAUGCAAAUCAACUGAUUUAUUUGAGCCUUUCCCUGACCCUGACUAUUAAUUCUUGAUGGAGGCGAGGCCCCGAGGUUGGUAAUGCGAUGGUAGCGGACGGAGUGAAUUAUGAUUGUGUUGAUUUCUUGGAGCCUUCUAUAACACGUUGAAGGAUUAUUCAAUGCCUUGUCAUUACAAAUAAGCUAGUACAAAACAAAGAUGCAGUAUUCAUUCGAUCUAUAAUACAAGUAUUAGAGCUAACAUGGUAGAAUGGGGGAAGCUCUAGAAAAAAAGGAAAACUAUGUUUUCUUUCUGCAUGAAAGACAGCAAGAAAAAGCUACUUUAACAUGCAUUGUGUGUUGAUGUUUUCUGUGCAUUUCUCUGUCUAUGCAUAAAAAAUUAAACCUUUUGACUGGUUAGCAGUUGGCCAUGAUUCAUUUUUAUUCACCACUGUCCAUAACUGGAUUAAAUAAUUAUAAUUCAUCUUAACCAUCUGAGACUCUCCCUGACAUUUGGAUGCCUCUGCCCUGCUGCUCACUUAUGCUUAAGUUUGUACCUGCUCAUUAACUGAUUUGUCCUAAAAAUAACUUUGAAAGUCUCAGUUCCUGAGCUGUUAGCAGUUAGCCUACAAAGCUAAGGUUAUAAAAUCAGCAUCUGGCUAGAGCUCAAAAAGCUGACUCUGUUCUCAUUUUUAAGGCUAAGAUAAAGAAAUGUAUAUUUAAACCUGCUUCUAAUUAGCUCUUAAACUGUAAAUCACUGAAGGCUAUCAUGAAGGAGGUGUCUCAUCGUACUGAAGGGUUUGUUACUUCAUUCCUGGCUUCAGAAUUCAUUAUGAAUUAGACAUGUGAAAGCUACCAUCUCUUGCCUAUCCCACAAAAUCUCAAGGUAAAACACGUAGUAAUGGCACUCUGUUUUGUGGUUAAAUAUUUCCAUGCAGAAGUUUUGCAUUUUUAAGAAAUAAACUUAUCAACCUACUUUAAAUUGAUUUAAUUCUAGAUAUUUCAGAAUCACUGCAUUUGGGAGUGCCAGAAUUUAUUUGAUAAUAUUUGCAUUUCAUCUUUAAGUAUUUACAAGUUUGGCUAAAACAAUUCUUAACUUUUAUAGCAAAAGACAAUUCAGAGAUAAUUCCAUGUAUAUAAAUAUUCUAGAGAAAAGAAACAUUUUCUCUUUCUCCUAUGUUCACAUGGGGGCAUAAUGGGUAAUUUCCUUUCUGAAAAAGAAGCAAAACUACUUUAUAUUUUAAUACUAAUUAAUUAGACAUUUAAUUCAAUUAAAUAGACUGGUUAGCAAAAUCAAGCUGUGGUGAAGAGUAGAGGACAAAGUUGAACAAUUUGAAAUAUUAGAGUUUACAGUUAAAUUGUAUAAUAUUUUGUAUAAGUCUUCAUCCACUGAUUUGUCACUUGUAGUUUGUACAAUUGUUGGUUCACAAAACAUUAUUUUGUAUUCUAAACUACGUGACGACAGACAUCUUUAAGUGCUUCUCUU